CGAAUGCUGACAUAAGUAACGAUAAAGCGGGUGAAAAGCCCGCUCGCCGGAAGACCAAGGGUUCCUGUCCAACGUUAAUCGGGGCAGGGUGAGUCGACCCCUAAGGCGAGGCCGAAAGGCGUAGUCGAUGGGAAACAGGUUAAUAUUCCUGUACUUGGUGUUACUGCGAAGGGGGGACGGAGAAGGCUAUGUUGGCCGGGCGACGGUUGUCCCGGUUUAAGCGUGUAGGCUGGUUUUCCAGGCAAAUCCGGAAAAUCAAGGCUGAGGCGUGAUGACGAGGCACUACGGUGCUGAAGCAACAAAUGCCCUGCUUCCAGGAAAAGCCUCUAAGCAUCAGGUAACAUCAAAUCGUACCCCAAACCGACACAGGUGGUCAGGUAGAGAAUACCAAGGCGCUUGAGAGAACUCGGGUGAAGGAACUAGGCAAAAUGGUGCCGUAACUUCGGGAGAAGGCACGCUGAUAUGUAGGUGAAGUCCCUCGCGGAUGGAGCUGAAAUCAGUCGAAGAUACCAGCUGGCUGCAACUGUUUAUUAAAAACACAGCACUGUGCAAACACGAAAGUGGACGUAUACGGUGUGACGCCUGCCCGGUGCCGGAAGGUUAAUUGAUGGGGUCAGCGCAAGCGAAGCUCUUGAUCGAAGCCCCGGUAAACGGCGGCCGUAACUAUAACGGUCCUAAGGUAGCGAAAUUCCUUGUCGGGUAAGUUCCGACCUGCACGAAUGGCGUAAUGAUGGCCAGGCUGUCUCCACCCGAGACUCAGUGAAAUUGAACUCGCUGUGAAGAUGCAGUGUACCCGCGGCAAGACGGAAAGACCCCGUGAACCUUUACUAUAGCUUGACACUGAACAUUGAGCCUUGAUGUGUAGGAUAGGUGGGAGGCUUUGAAGUGUGGACGCCAGUCUGCAUGGAGCCGACCUUGAAAUACCACCCUUUAAUGUUUGAUGUUCUAACGUGGACCCGUGAUCCGGGUUGCGGACAGUGUCUGGUGGGUAGUUUGACUGGGGCGGUCUCCUCCUAAAGAGUAACGGAGGAGCACGAAGGUUGGCUAAUCCUGGUCGGACAUCAGGAGGUUAGUGCAAUGGCAUAAGCCAGCUUGACUGCGAGCGUGACGGCGCGAGCAGGUGCGAAAGCAGGUCAUAGUGAUCCGGUGGUUCUGAAUGGAAGGGCCAUCGCUCAACGGAUAAAAGGUACUCCGGGGAUAACAGGCUGAUACCGCCCAAGAGUUCAUAUCGACGGCGGUGUUUGGCACCUCGAUGUCGGCUCAUCACAUCCUGGGGCUGAAGUAGGUCCCAAGGGUAUGGCUGUUCGCCAUUUAAAGUGGUACGCGAGCUGGGUUUAGAACGUCGUGAGACAGUUCGGUCCCUAUCUGCCGUGGGCGCUGGAGAACUGAGGGGGGCUGCUCCUAGUACGAGAGGACCGGAGUGGACGCAUCACUGGUGUUCGGGUUGUCAUGCCAAUGGCACUGCCCGGUAGCUAAAUGCGGAAGAGAUAAGUGCUGAAAGCAUCUAAGCACGAAACUUGCCCCGAGAUGAGUUCUCCCUGACCCUUUAAGGGUCCUGAAGGAACGUUGAAG
rnacentral:rRNA from 1 species